rnacentral:rRNA from 1 species
UACGUAGGGUGCGAGCGUUAAUCGGAAUUACUGGGCGUAAAGCGUGCGCAGGCGGUGAUGUAAGACAGUUGUGAAAUCCCCGGGCUCAACCUGGGAACUGCAUCUGUGACUGCAUCGCUGGAGUACGGUAGAGGGGGAUGGAAUUCCGCGUGUAGCAGUGAAAUGCGUAGAUAUGCGGAGGAACACCGAUGGCGAAGGCAAUCCCCUGGACCUGUACUGACGCUCAUGCACGAAAGCGUGAGGAGCAAACAGG